UUAAUUUCGAAGAAAUAUUAUCGGAUUCAUUUGCGAUGAAAAAGAUUCACCGCGCGGUAAUAUUUGCGCUGAAUUCUUCAAAGUAUGCAUUGGUUUAUAACAGCAGCAAUUCGAACCUGUGAAGAAGAAACGAUGUGUCGCUUGUCUGGAGACCAGUCUGAGCAUAAAACUUUAGCUUGAUGCCCUUUCAGUAUACGACGUGGCUUCACGUUCAUACAAUUUAUAGAUUCCAGUCUGUCCGCUACGGAGGCGACUAAAAAAUACAAAAUGUGACAGGAACUGUCAACAAUAUUAAUCAAUACAUCGAUAAUAAUAAAAUUUGGCGCCGAUGCGAGAAACCACACGAACAAACACGAACAUUACCGAACACAU